UACGUAGGGUGCAAGCGUUAAUCGGAAUUACUGGGCGUAAAGCGUGCGCAGGCGGUGAUGUAAGUCAGAUGUGAAAUCCCCGGGCUCAACCUGGGAACUGCAUUUGUGACUGCCUCGCUGGAGUACGGCAGAGGGGGAUGGAAUUCCGCGUGUAGCAGUGAAAUGCGUAGAUAUGCGGAGGAACACCGAUGGCGAAGGCAAUCCCCUGGGCAUGUACUGACGCUCAUGCACGAAAGCGUGGGGAGCAAACAGG
rnacentral:rRNA from 1 species